CAGCAGCCGCGGUAAAACGAAGGGUGCAAGCGUUAAUCGGAAUUACUGGGCGUAAAGCGUGCGUAGGCGGUUUGUUAAGUCUGCUGUGAAAUCCCCGGGCUCAACCUGGGAAUGGCAAUGGAUACUGGCAAGCUAGAGUGUGUCAGAGGAUGGUGGAAUUCCCGGUGUAGCGGUGAAAUGCGUAGAGAUCGGGAGGAACAUCAGUGGCGAAGGCGGCCAUCUGGGACAACACUGACGCUGAGGCACGAAAGCGUGGGGAGCAAACAGGAUUAGAUACCCCUGUAGUCCCUGUCUCUUAUAC
rnacentral:rRNA from 1 species